CGGACGGGUGAGUAAUGUCUGGGAAACUGCCUGAUGGAGGGGGAUAACUACUGGAAACGGUAGCUAAUACCGCAUAACGUCGCAAGGCCAAAGAGGGGGACCUUAGGGCCUCUUGCCAUCGGAUGUGCCCAGAUGGGAUUAGCUUGUUGGUGGGGUAACGGCUCACCAAGGCGACGAUCCCUAGCUGGUCUGAGAGGAUGACCAGCCACACUGGAACUGAGACACGGUCCAG
rnacentral:rRNA from 1 species